rnacentral:rRNA from 1 species
GGACCCGCACAAGCGGUGGAUUAUGUGUUUAAUUCGACGCAACGCGAAGAACUUACCAGGCCUUGACAUACUCGGCAAAGCUCUAGAGAUAGAGUGGAGGUUAUCCGGGAUACAGGUGGUGCAUGGUUGUCGUCAGCUCGUGUCGUGAGAUGUUGGGUUAAGUCCCGCAACGAGCGCAACCCUUGUCUUUAGUUACCAUCAUUCAGUUGGGGACUCUAGAGAGACUGCCGGUGAUAAACCGGAGGAAGGUGGGGAUGACGUCAAAUCAUCAUGCCCCUUAUGGCCUGGGCUACAAACGUAAUACAAUGGCGUAUACAAAGGGAUGCGAAAGGGCGACCUGGAGCAAAACUCACAAAGUACGUCUCAGUUCAGAUUGGAGUCUGCAACUCGACUCCAUGAAGGCGGAAUCGCUAGUAAUCGCGGAUCAGCAUGCCGCGGUGAAUACGUUCUCGGGGUUU